rnacentral:rRNA from 1 species
UACGUAGGGUGCAAGCGUUGUCCGGAAUUAUUGGGCGUAAAGAGCUCGUAGGCGGUUUGUCGCGUCUGCUGUGAAAACUCAGGGCUUAACCCUGAGCCUGCAGUGGGUACGGGCAGACUAGAGUGUGGUAGGGGAGAUCGGAAUUCCUGGUGUAGCGGUGGAAUGCGCAGAUAUCUGGAGGAACACCGGUGGCGAAGGCGGCAUCCUGGACCAACACUGACACUGAGGAGCGAAAGCCAGGGGAGCAAACGGG